ACAGCCAUACAUACCACCCUGAACACACCCAAUCUUGUCUGAUUUUGGAAGCUAAGCAGGGGUAGGCCCGGUUAGUACGUGGAUAGGGAGAAUACGGUGGUUUAUUUAUU
rfam:Fukomys damarensis contig138432, whole genome shotgun sequence.